CACUACAGAGGAAAGCUCUAGCAGGCUCCAAUUUAUAGCCAUAAAUAUAGACCUGGAUUGACAAAUAGGAGGUUAGCUUAAUAUUUAUAAAUUAUGCUUCUAUUGUAAUCAAUUCAUGCUGAGCAAGACUUCUCCACGAUUCCACGAUUGCUUGAUUAUCAAAUGUGUACUUCCAUUUCACGGGGAGCUGGAGAAUUCCACAGGGUACAUUCUAGAGUUGCUUUUACAUCAUAAUGAAUGUCUGUGUUUUGUUAGAAGCAAGUCCUUCAACAGAGUAAUUACUACCAAGUGGCUGUCCGUCAGGAGACAGAUCUACAGUGUGUACACACCAGCACUCCGACAGAAGCGUGCAUUCAACCACAGGGAAAAACUAGGGCAACGGAACAGAAAUUCUAAUUUCUAGAGAGACAGAAUGAGUCCUACCCACAUCAGCAUCUCAAGCAUCACUAGCAAAUCUCUACCUAACGGAUUCAUCAAACAACACUGACCCUGUGAUCCUCAGCAAGGGGUGUGUGGGAACAACAGACUGCUCCAGCAUAUCCUGUUCUCUCUCCCAGCAAGGAGUCUUGUUCAAAGUUAUCCAUUGGCCUGGAACUUUAAGGAAGAGGAUAAGCUAGAUGGCCUCUUAGCCCAGGGACUUCCUACCUCCACUUCCCACCUCAAUACCAGGAUUCCAGAUGUUGCUUUACCCAGACUCAGACAUAGGCUCUUUGGAUAUGAACUCUGUCCUCAUGAUUUUGAGGGUCCUUAUUUAGGAAUCCAAAGAUCUGAGGAAGGGUCACCUCUAUCUUCAGGAUGUACCUCCCAGCCCUGCAGCAGCAUCCCAGCAUCCUACCACCACUGCAGCAGCAUCCCAGCAUCCUACCACCACUGCCAAUACCAUGCCCCCGGUGCCUCACUUGGCCACAACUCAUUUGUUUUCCAUCAGUUACAGCUCUAAUUGGCCAGAGCAAGAAUUCCAUCCUCUCAUCUCUAUAAAUGUGUGGAAGAAAAUUGAAGGCAGGGCCCCCUGGGCCUGUCCAUUUUGAUUAUUUAUAGUGAGGUCACGGGAUCAGCAGCUACAAGAGGAGAAGAGCAUCAACCGUUCUCUAAGCUCAUCUCAGGGAGGCCGGUGUGAGCUGCUCCUGCCCAGCACUCCAAGCUACAGUGCAGAAACAAACUGAGUUGGUCUAGGCUUUCUGGCACUGGUGUCUAUAAGGGAGACUGGGGCUCAGCGUAUCUCUCUGGAGAGCUGAUAGCCUGUGCCAUGUCGGUUACCUGAAAUUAUCUCUGCUAUAGCAAUGAGGAGGGCAGUGUUUCAGGUAGAAGGUGAUUUACCUAUGAAAGACUUUAACAUCAUUAUUUGUCUAAAAGUAAUAUUAAAAAAAGGCUCCUC